UACGAGAGGCCCAAACGUUAUUCGGAUUUACUGGGCUUAAAGAGUUCGUAGGCGGUUUGGUAAGUGGGGUGUGAAAUCCCUCGGCUCAACCGAGGAAUUGCGCUCCAAACUGCCAGGCUUGAGGGAGAUAGAGGUGAGCGGAACUGAUGGUGGAGCGGUGAAAUGCGUUGAUAUCAUCAGGAACACCAGAGGCGAAGGCGGCUCACUGGGUCUUUUCUGACGCUGAGGAACGAAAGCUAGGGGAGCAAACGGG
rnacentral:rRNA from 1 species